CCCUUAGAUGUUCUGGGCGGCCCGCGCACUACAUUGGCACUCUCAAUAAGUUCCUAGAUCUAAAACUUUGGGGUAUUCUAUUAAGUGGUGUCGUGACUGGGAUUAACCCUUGCAAUUAUUGGUUACGAACGAGGAAUUCCUUGUAAUCGCGGUUUAUCAGCCCGCGUUGAAUGCGUCCCUGCCCUUUGUACACACCGCCCGUCGCACCUACCGAUUGGAUGGUCCGGUGAAGCCUCGGGAUUGUGGUUCUUGCCGCUUUAUUGUGGCGUGACCGCGAGAACUUGUCUAAACCUUAUCAUCUAGAGGAAGGUGAAGUCGUAACA
rnacentral:rRNA from 1 species